AUUGAACGCUGGCGGCAGGCCUAACACAUGCAAGUCGAACGAGUGGCGGACGGGUGAGUAAUGUCUGGGAAACUGCCCGAUGGCGGGGGAUAACUACUGGAAACGGUAGCUAAUACCGCAUACCAUCGGAUGUGCCCAGAUGGGAUUAGCUAGUAGGUGUGGUACCGGCGCACCUAGGCGACGAUCCCUAGAUGGUCUGAGAGGAUGACCAGCCACUGUGGAGCUGAGACACGGUCCAGACUCCUACGAGAGGCAGCAGUGGGGAAUAUUGCACAAGGGGCGCAAGCCUGAUACAGCCAUGCCGGGUGUAUGAAGAAGGCCUGCGGGUUGUAAAGUACUUACAGCGGGGAGGCGUUGCCCGCAUGAGGAGCACCGGCUAACUCCGUGCCAGCCGCCGCGGUAAUUC
rnacentral:rRNA from 1 species